rnacentral:rRNA from 1 species
CAUAUGCUUGUCUCAAAGAUUAAGCCAUGCAUGUCUAAGUUCACACUGUUUCACGGUGAAACCGCGAAUGGCUCAUUAAAUCAGUCGAGGUUCCUUAGAUGACACGAUCCUACUUGGAUAACUGUGGCAAUUCUAGAGCUAAUACAUGCCUCUGAAGCUCCGACCCUCGUGGAAAGAGCGCUUUUAUUAGUUCAAAACCAAUCGCCGGUCGUCUUCGCGGGCGGCCGGUGUCCCCAUUGGUGACUCUGGAUAACUUUGUGCUGAUCGCAUGGCCCUUGUGCCGGCGACGCAUCUUUCAAAUGUCUGCCCUAUCAAAUGUCGAUGGUACGUGAUAUGCCUACCAUGUUUGUAACGGGUAACGGGGAAUCAGGGUUCGAUUCCGGAGAGGGAGCAUGAGAAACGGCUACCACAUCCAAGGAAGGCAGCAGGCGCGCAACUUACCCACUCCCGGCACGGGGAGGUAGUGACGAAAAAUAACAAUACGGGACUCUAUACGAGGCUCCGUAAUUGGAAUGAGUACACUUUAAACCCUUUAACGAGUAUCUAUUGGAGGGCAAGUCUGGUGCCAGCAGCCGCGGUAAUUCCAGCUCCAAUAGCGUAUAUUAAAGUUGUUGCAGUUAAAAAGCUCGUAGUUGGAUCUCAGGUGCAGGCGGACGGUCCGGCUCGCGCCGGUCACUGUCCGUAUUUCCUGCCCUACUGGUCUGCCGGCUCUCUCCCGCGGGUGCUCUUCGCUGAGCGUCCCGGGUGGCCGGCGCGUUUACUUUGAAAAAAUUAGAGUGUUCAAAGCAGGCCUUGGCUGCCUGAAUAAUGGUGCAUGGAAUAAUGGAAUAGGACCUCGGUUCUAUUUUGUUGGUUUUCGGAACUGGAGGUAAUGAUUAAAAGGGACAAACGGGGGCAUUCGUAUUGCGGCGUUAGAGGUGAAAUUCUUGGAUCGCCGCAAGACGAGCUACUGCGAAAGCAUUUGUCAAGAAUGUUUUCAUUAAUCAAGAACGAAAGUCA